rnacentral:rRNA from 1 species
GAUGAACGCUGGCGGCGUGCCUAAUACAUGCAAGUCGAGCGAACGGACGAUAAUCUUGCUUCUCUGAUGUUAGCGGCGGACGGGUGAGUAACACGUGGAUAACCUACCUAUAAGACUUGGAUAACUUCGGGAAACCGUAGCUAAUACCGGAUAAUAUUUUGAACCUCAUGGUUCAAAAGUUAAAUACGUUCUUGCUGUCACUUAUAGAUUUAUCCGCGCUGCAUUAGCUAGUUGGUAAGGUAACGGCUUACCAAGGCAACGAUGCAUAUCCGACCUGAGAGGGUGAUCGGCCACACUGGAACUGAGACACGGUCCAGACUCCUACGGGAGGCAGCAGUAGGGAAUCUUCCGAAAUGGGCGAAAGCAUGACGGAGCAAAGCCGCGUGAGUGAUGAAGGUCUUCGGAUCGUAAAACUCUGUUAUUAGGGAAGAACAUAUGUGUAAGUAACUGUGCACAUCUUGACGGUAACUAAUCAGAAAGCCACGGCUAACUACGUG